rnacentral:rRNA from 1 species
UACGUAGGGGGCAAGCGUUGUCCGGAAUCAUUGGGCGUAAAGAGCGUGUAGGCGGCUCGGUAAGUCCGCUCUGAAAGCCCGGGGCUCAACCCCGGGAGGCGGGCGGAUACUGUCGGGCUAGAGUCCGGAAGAGGCGAGUGGAAUUCCUGGUGUAGCGGUGAAAUGCGCAGAUGUCAGGAGGAACACCAAUGGCGAAGGCAGCUCGCUGGGACGGUACUGACGCUGAGACGCGAAAGCGUGGGGAGCAAACAGG